rnacentral:lncRNA from 13 species
AGUUUCUCUUUCAUUUCCAGCAAUUGACUCUAAUAAGUCUGAUACUUGUUGCAUUUUUGAUAAAGCAAAAAGCCUUGCUGAGGUCAUUUGUGUUUGCUGUGCUCCACUCUUGCUCUUCCAGAUGACCUCCAUACUACAUUGCUGGCUUCUUGUUGGUUUCUCUUCCUCAAAAGCUUUGGUGGAAAGAUGAACGUGGAUCUUGUCUACUUUGUUACCUGUUGUAUUCUUGGUGGUCAGAAUAGUGCACAUGAUAUAAAGAAGAUGACAAUUAGCAUGUGGGGAGUCCACACGACAUUUUGAUAUUAAACGUGGGUUCUUCUUCUUGACAAGGGGGGAAUAUGCUGCUCUAGCAAGAUUGCAAUGAUGAACCCCAGGGAUACACACCUACCUACUGAGAGACCUCCAAACAGAGACAUCAACAUAGAAACCUCCGCAGAGAUAACCAGAUCUCCAUAUGCAAACUCAUGCAAAAAGAAACCUAGAGAGACAGAUGCCCAGAAGAGGGGUGUGAGUAUAAGCUUUGAGUUUCAGACAGAUGCUUGGCUGACAUUUCUCUCAGUGGUGUGAAAGGACAUUUACCCAGAUUCUACAGAUAUUUUGAUAGAUUACUGCUCUCAACAAAACUGCAAUGAAACUACUAAAAUACAAAAGCAAUUGCGAACUCCAGAGAGUGCUAUAAAACAUUGCAGAAGAGAGUAUGGUUUAUGUUAAUUACAGAGGACUAACAAGAUGUAGAAUGAGAGAGCUGAAAAAGCCUCCACUACCAGUGGCUCUUAGAGGGUAAUCAGUCCAAGGGCAGCGCGCUGCCUGCUAGCAGAAUCCUUGUGAUCCCAAAACCCACAUGGCUGGGGUCUCUCUCUAGUCCUUUAUACAGUAAUCAAUAUUUAAAUGAUCACCCUAAAGCCCUGUCAAGUCCUGAAGCAAGAUUUUGAAAAAUAAAAAAACUCAUAAAACACA